rnacentral:rRNA from 1 species
UACGGAAGGCAGCAGUGGGGAAUAUUGCACAAUGGGCGCAAGCCUGAUGCAGCCAUGCCGCGUGUAUGAAGAAGGCCUUCGGGUUGUAAAGUACUUUCAGUCGUGAGGAAGGUGUUAAGGUUAAUAACCUUAGCAAUUGACGUUAGCGACAGAAGAAGCACCGGCUAACUCCGUGCCAGCAGCCGCGGUAAUACGGAGGGUGCGAGCGUUAAUCGGAAUUACUGGGCGUAAAGGGCACGCAGGCGGUUAAUUAAGUUGGAUGUGAAAUCCCCGGGCUUAACCUGGGAAUGGCAUUCAAGACUGGUUAGCUAGAGUCUUGUAGAGGGGGUUAGAAUUCCAUGUGUAGCGGUGAAAUGCGUAGAGAUGUGGAGGAAUACCGGUGGCGAAGGCGGCCCCUGGACAAAGGACUGACGCUCAUGUGCGAAAGCGUGGGGAGCGAAAC